rnacentral:rRNA from 1 species
GGGUUGUGAGGUUAAGCGACUAAGCGUACACGGUGGAUGCCCUGGCAGUCAGAGGCGAUGAAGGACGUGCUAAUCUGCGAAAAGCGCCGGCGAGGUGAUAUGAACCUUUGACCCGGCGAUGUCCGAAUGGGGAAACCCAGUGUGAUUCGUCACACUAUCGUUAACUGAAUACAUAGGUUAACGAGGCGAACCGGGGGAACUGAAACAUCUAAGUACCCCGAGGAAAAGAAAUCAACCGAGAUUCCCCCAGUAGCGGCGAGCGAACGGGGAGCAGCCCAGAGUCUGAAUCAGCUUGUGUGUUAGUGGAAGCGUCUGGAAAGUCGCACGGUACAGGGUGAAAGUCCCGUACACGAAAGCACACAGGCUGUGAACUCGAAGAGUAGGGCGGGACACGUGGUAUCCUGUCUGAAUAUGGGGGGACCAUCCUCCAAGGCUAAAUACUCCUGACUGACCGAUAGUGAACCAGUACCGUGAGGGAAAGGCGAAAAGAACCCCGGCGAGGGGAGUGAAAAAGAACCUGAAACCGUGUACGUACAAGCAGUGGGAGCCUCUUUUAUGGGGUGACUGCGUACCUUUUGUAUAAUGGGUCAGCGACUUAUAUUCUGUAGCAAGGUUAACCGUAUAGGGGAGCCGAAGGGAAACCGAGUCUUAACUGGGCGUUAAGUUGCAGGGUAUAGACCCGAAACCCGGUGAUCUAGCCAUGGGCAGGUUGAAGGUUGGGUAACACUAACUGGAGGACCGAACCGACUAAUGUUGAAAAAUUAGCGGAUGACUUGUGGCUGGGGGUGAAAGGCCAAUCAAACCGGGAGAUAGCUGGUUCUCCCCGAAAGCUAUUUAGGUAGCGCCUCGUGAACUCAUCUUCGGGGGUAGAGCACUGUUUCGGCUAGGGGGCCAUCCCGGCUUACCAACCCGAUGCAAACUACGAAUACCGAAGAAUGUUAUCACGGGAGACACACGGCGGGUGCUAACGUCCGUCGUGAAGAGGGAAACAACCCAGACCGCCAGCUAAGGUCCCAAAGUCAUGGUUAAGUGGGAAACGAUGUGGGAAGGCACAGACAGCCAGGAUGUUGGCUUAGAAGCAGCCAUCAUUUAAAGAAAGCGUAAUAGCUCACUGGUCGAGUCGGCCUGCGCGGAAGAUGUAACGGGGCUAAACCAUGCACCGAAGCUGCGGCAGCGACGCUUAUGCGUUGUUGGGUAGGGGAGCGUUCUGUAAGCCGUUGAAGGUGUCCUGUGAGGGAUGCUGGAGGUAUCAGAAGUGCGAAUGCUGACAUAAGUAACGAUAAAGCGGGUGAAAAGCCCGCUCGCCGGAAGACCAAGGGUUCCUGUCCAACGUUAAUCGGGGCAGGGUGAGUCGACCCCUAAGGCGAGGCCGAAAGGCGUAGUCGAUGGGAAACAGGUUAAUAUUCCUGUACUUGGUGUUACUGCGAAGGGGGGACGGAGAAGGCUAUGUUAGCCGGGCGACGGUUGUCCCGGUUUAAGCAUGUAGGCGGAACGAUUAGGUAAAUCCGGUCGUUUAUUAACGCUGAGGUGUGAUGACGAGGCACUACGGUGCUGAAGUAACAAAUGCCCUGCUUCCAGGAAAAGCCUCUAAGCAUCAGGUAACAUCAAAUCGUACCCCAAACCGACACAGGUGGUCAGGUAGAGAAUACCAAGGCGCUUGAGAGAACUCGGGUGAAGGAACUAGGCAAAAUGGUGCCGUAACUUCGGGAGAAGGCACGCUGAUAUGUAGGUGAAGCCCCUGCGGGUGGAGCUGAAAUCAGUCGAAGAUACCAGCUGGCUGCAACUGUUUAUUAAAAACACAGCACUGUGCAAACACGAAAGUGGACGUAUACGGUGUGACGCCUGCCCGGUGCCGGAAGGUUAAUUGAUGGGGUUAGCGGUAACGCGAAGCUCUUGAUCGAAGCCCCGGUAAACGGCGGCCGUAACUAUAACGGUCCUAAGGUAGCGAAAUUCCUUGUCGGGUAAGUUCCGACCUGCACGAAUGGCGUAAUGAUGGCCAGGCUGUCUCCACCCGAGACUCAGUGAAAUUGAACUCGCUGUGAAGAUGCAGUGUACCCGCGGCAAGACGGAAAGACCCCGUGAACCUUUACUAUAGCUUGACACUGAACACUGGUCCUUGAUGUGUAGGAUAGGUGGGAGGCUUUGAAGCGUGGACGCCAGUCUGCGUGGAGCCAACCUUGAAAUACCACCCUUUAAUGGCUGGUGUUCUAACGUAGACCCGUGAUCCGGGUUGCGGACAGUGUCUGGUGGGUAGUUUGACUGGGGCGGUCUCCUCCCAAAGAGUAACGGAGGAGCACGAAGGUUAGCUAAUCCUGGUCGGACAUCAGGAGGUUAGUGCAAUGGCAUAAGCUAGCUUGACUGCGAGAGUGACGGCUCGAGCAGGUGCGAAAGCAGGUCAUAGUGAUCCGGUGGUUCUGAAUGGAAGGGCCAUCGCUCAACGGAUAAAAGGUACUCCGGGGAUAACAGGCUGAUACCGCCCAAGAGUUCAUAUCGACGGCGGUGUUUGGCACCUCGAUGUCGGCUCAUCACAUCCUGGGGCUGAAGUAGGUCCCAAGGGUAUGGCUGUUCGCCAUUUAAAGUGGUACGCGAGCUGGGUUUAGAACGUCGUGAGACAGUUCGGUCCCUAUCUGCCGUGGGCGCUGGAGAAUUGAGGGGGGCUGCUCCUAGUACGAGAGGACCGGAGUGGACGCAUCACUGGUGUUCGGGUUGUCAUGCCAAUGGCACUGCCCGGUAGCUAAAUGCGGAAGAGAUAAGUGCUGAAAGCAUCUAAGCACGAAACUUGCCCCGAGAUGAGUUCUCCCUGAGACUUUAAGUCUCCUGAAGGAACGUUGAAGACUACGACGUUGAUAGGUCGGGUGUGUAAGCGCAGCGAUGCGUUGAGCUAACCGAUACUAAUGAACCGUGAGGCUUAACCUUACAACGCCGAAG